CUGUAGGCUCUGGCUCCUGCCUGCUCUCAGCCUUGCUCCAGGCCUCAUACGCAGACAUGGAAAGAAUGUGCAAACCCGUCACAGACAGUGGACCUGCCAAGAAUUAAUUUUUUUCUCAAUGUUAUAAUGAAACAACAUUGAAUGAAAUGAUGUUAUUCAAGGGCCUGCUGUACAUAUCACAAUGAGCAAGUACUUUGUUCAUUAGAUUCUCACUUCUGAAUUUGGAGAUCCUCAUUCAUAGCUCUUUUUAUCUGCUCUUACAAGAGGCUUGUGAAUGAAUUGGGGUGGAUAAUUGGGAUGUAGCCCCUCUUAAGACUGUCACCCCAAUGACAGCAUCACUCCCUCACAAAGCUAACCAUAUUUAGAAACAGCUUAUUUAUAUUGCCAUAUCUAAAACCCUUUUUGGGGGCUCAUUUCCAGAUCUUGUCUUAGUAACCUUAGAAG
rnacentral:lncRNA from 1 species